UACGUAGGGUGCAAGCGUUGUCCGGAAUUAUUGGGCGUAAAGAGCUCGUAGGCGGUUCGUCGCGUCGGCUGUGAAAUCCCGAGGCUCAACCUCGGGUCUGCAGUCGAUACGGGCGGACUGGAGUUCGGCAGGGGAGACUGGAAUUCCUGGUGUAGCGGUGAAAUGCGCAGAUAUCAGGAGGAACACCGAUGGCGAAGGCGGGUCUCUGGGCAGUAACUGACGCUGAGGAGCGAAAGCGUGGGGAGCGAACAGG
rnacentral:rRNA from 1 species